rnacentral:piRNA from 1 species
UGAACCAAGCCUGGUAACGGGUUUU